CUUAGGUCAUUAUACCAGUCUCAGUUCAGUCUCAGUUUUGGAAUUGCAAUGUUUGAUCACCCUGCAAAUUAUUGUCCCAGGGAACUUUUGUACUUCAAAAGACUUCUGAUCAAAGGGUAAUAUUAAAUAAUCUAACAUAUGGGGUAUGCACAGUUCUGCUCUUAUUAAAGUGAGAUCUUUAAAUAUAUUUCCCAAGCUUGUUAUUCAGGCAUAUACAUAAGCUUCCUCUUGGGUUAAACCCAAGGAUCUUUUUCAGAGGGUAUGAGAAAGCUUUAAAAUUUAAAAGGAGAAAGAUUUAUAGUAAAACGGUGAGAUUUGAUUGUUUAUUCAAUAUGAGAAUUUAUGAAAUAACUGAUAAUAUUUCGUCAUGAUCAGUUUUUUAAAGUUAUUUGUCUCUAUUUAAGGAUAACAAAGCUGAUGUAAUUUUAAAAUACAAUGCAGACGAAGCUAGAAGUCUGAAGGCAUAUGGCGAGCUUCCAGAGCAUGGUAAUGUCUGAGUUACUAUAUUAACUUGUCAUGUGGUAUUUAGGUUAUCUGUUGUUUAGGUGAAGGAACUGUGGAUUUUGCUUAUUUACUUUAGUGCUUACAUUUUUAGUUUUAAGUAUGCCUGCCUAUGCUUCAUAAUACUAGAUACUAUAAGAAAGAAAUUACUGGAAUUCUGUUCCUAAUAAAUAUGGUGAGGAGUUAUAUUCUAUAAGCUUUGGACUUCCACAUAAUGCUAACUAAAGGAAUAAUUUUGUUAUAGUAUCUAUUAAAAUUACUGUGUCCUUAGCUAAAAUCAAUGAAACUGAUACAUUUGGUCCUGGAGAUGAUGAUGAAAUUCAGUUUGAUGACAUUGGAGAUGAUGAUGAAGAUAUUGAUGACAUCUAAAUUGAACUCAACAUUUUACAUUCCAUCUUUUCUGAAGAUUGUCCUACAAUUUGGAUUUUGACCAUGACAAAGAAGAUUAAAAUUUCAUUAGCAUGAAUGCAAUUUGUUAAAGCAGACUGAUUUGUUUCUAAGAUAUUUUUGGUUUUUUUAAAACUGAUAAUAAUGCUGAAUUAUAUUAAGUGAGAUGUUAAGCCCACUUUGUUCUUUUAAUGUAAUGGAGCUUAUGGGUAGAAGACCAUGUCUACUAAUUACAGAAAAAAAAAAAAAAUGCAUUGCUGCUUUUCCUAC
rnacentral:sRNA from 1 species